UGGGGAAUAUUGGACAAUGGGCGCAAGCCUGAUCCAGCCAUGCCGCGUGAGUGAUGAAGGCCCUAGGGUUGUAAAGCUCUUUCACCGGUGAAGAUAAUGACGGUAACCGGAGAAGAAGCCCCGGAUAACUUCGUGCCAGCAGCCGCGGUAAUACGAAGGGGGCUAGCGUUGUUCGGAUUUACUGGGCGUAAAGCGCACGUAGGCGGACUUUUAAGUCAGGGGUGAAAUCCCGGGGCUCAACCCCGGAACUGCCUUUGAUACUGGAAGUCUUGAGUAUGGUAGAGGUGAGUGUAAUUCCGAGUGUAGAGGUGAAAUUCGUAGAUAUUCGGAGGAACACCAGUGGCGAAGGCGGCUCACUGGACCAUUACUGACGCUGAGGUGCGAAAGCGUGGGGAGCAAACAGG
rnacentral:rRNA from 1 species